UACGUAGGUCCCGAGCGUUGUCCGGAUUUAUUGGGCGUAAAGCGAACGCAGGUGGUUUAUUAAGUCUGGUGUAAAAGGCAGUGGCUCAACCAUUGUAUGCAUUGGAAACUGGUAGACUUGAGUGCAGGAGAGGAGAGUGGAAUUCCAUGUGUAGCGGUGAAAUGCGUAGAUAUAUGGAGGAACACCGGUGGCGAAAGCGGCUCUCUGGCCUGUAUCUGACACUGAGGCUCGAAAGCGUGGGGAGCAAACAGG
rnacentral:rRNA from 1 species